CCUACGGGAGGCAGCAGUGAGGAAUAUUGGACAAUGGGGGCAACCCUGAUCCAGCAAUGCCGCGUGUGUGAAGAAGGCCUGCGGGUUGUAAAGCACUUUCGGUAGGGACGAAAAGCCGAGGGCUAAUAUCCUUCAGUCUUGACUUAACCUAAAGAAGAAGCACCGGCUAACUCCGUGCCAGCAGCCGCGGUAAU
rnacentral:rRNA from 1 species